ensembl:lncRNA
GUGUUGAAGGUGCAAGUAAAGGUUACGUAGAAGCUUUAGUGCAUCCCUGGUGCUUAGAGAAGCAAGGGGGGAUGGCCCGUGUCCUGAAUUGGAAUUUUGUGUUUUCCCUACGAAAUCUCACCUGCGCAUAUAACUCGAGACCGCACUGACUUCACAUUAGAAUCACCUGGAGACUCUUCAGAAGGUUAAGUUGGAGUGGGGGAGGGGCAGCGGGUUUUUCAGACCCUCCCCAGGUGAGCUGAGGGUACUGGUGGCCGCGAUAGGAACACUGUGUGGGCACUUAGCGCUGCUGCACCUGCGGGGGAAGCGUGGGGAUGAGGUGGAUAUUUCGGAGACGUGGAGACAUGUUCCCACACGGCUCCUCUGAGGAAACUUCCCCAGACUUCCCUGGUGGUCCAGUGGUUAAGAAUCCACCUGCCAGUGCAGAGGACACAGAUUCGAUCCUUGGUCCAGGAAGAUUCCACGUGCCUCAGGGCAAGCCUGAGCGCCGCAACAACUGAAGUCUGUGUGUCCUAGAAUCCAUCCUCUACAACCUGUGCACCACAGCUAGAGAGUAGCUCCCACUCGUGACAACGAGAGAAAGCCCACAUGCUGCAAUGAAGACCCAGUACAGCCAAAAAUAAAAUAAAUAAAUACAUAAAUAAAAGGACCACAAUGUUACAAUAAGAAAGAAAGCUACUUUUUAUUAAAUUAUAGCUGAUUUACAGUAUUGUGUGUGUUAGUUUUGGGUGUACAAAGUGAUUUGGUCAUACAUAUGUAUAUGUUGUUUUUCCUGAUUCUUUCUCGUUAUACUUUACUACAAGAAGUUGAAUGUAGUCCUCUGUUCUAUACAGUAAAACUUUGUUGUUUAUCUCAGAAAGUUACUUUAGUUUCUGAGUUUGGGUGGUGGUGGUGGUGGUGUGAGGACUUUUUGUUUGUUAAGUUUUUGUGUUUAAUUGUGACAACAGAAAAUGGUUGUGAGGAUUUGGGGAAGAAAUACAGAAUAUUCCUGAGGCCAGUUGCUUUAUAAAACCGACCACACAAAAUCUGUUGAUGAAGAAAAAAAGACAUUCUGAUUCCUAUCUGACCGUUUUUAGAUUGGGGCAUGGGGACGAUUAGGGACAGUGCAGGAAAUAACACGGUGUCCACAGAGGAGUGUCCCCUGCCCGUGACCUACAGAUUGCUGCAAACACUCUCUGCAAGUUGCAGGCACAGUUUUGAGUCCCCACAGUGUGGUUCAUGAUGCAAUUUGUAGUCUCAGUUUCUUUUACAAAAUUAUGAUGUUUAAAGCAUCGUGUAAUUAGGUCAGAGG